GCCUGGCUAGCACAGUCGGUAGAGCAUGAGACUCUUAAUCUCAGGGUUGUGGGUUCGAGCCCCACGUUGGCA
rnacentral:tRNA from 1 species